UGUCGGAAAAUUGGAUCGUUCCCAAUAUGAUAUUGUUUAAAAUCUAUCGGAAGAUCCAGGUGAGCGCAGAAAAAUUUGUGGUAGUGCCAGAAACACUACAAGAUAACUGUGAUAUUUAAUUAGAUUUCGAGUUUUAAAAAUAACAGAAACAUGCUUACGUAUCUUAGGAACCCGAUAUCGGGAUACGAAUAUUCGUUUUGGCCCGACGCGAAAUUUUUUUAUCAUUACAAAAUCUACCGACCCCUAACUUUCCAUCAAGACUGGCCCAUUACUGGUAGAGAGUGGUAUCCGGAAUAUUGGCCCAGCUAUCAUUCAUAUUGGCAUUAUUUAAAGGAUGUACCUAGCGAAAGGGCUUUCUCUACGGUUAGGGUAAAUAACAAUUUGUAUUGGACAGAUUCCAUCCUUCCAUAAAAAUUAAUCCUUAUAUUUAUAUCUUAAAAUUAGAAUAAAUAUUUAUUUAUAAUA